rfam:Pseudomonas sp. G5(2012) strain G5 PG5_6, whole genome shotgun sequence.
GGGGCUAUAGCUCAGCUGGGAGAGCGCUUGCAUGGCAUGCAAGAGGUCGACGGUUCGAUCCCGUCUAGCUCCA